rnacentral:rRNA from 1 species
GACGAACGCUGGCGGCGUGCUUAACACAUGCAAGUCGAACGGAAAGGCCCUGCUUUUGUGGGGUGCUCGAGUGGCGAACGGGUGAGUAACACGUGAGUAACCUGCCCUUGACUUUGGGGUAACUUCAGGAAACUGGGGCUAAUACCGGAUAGGAGCUCCUGCUGCAUGGUGGGGGUUGGAAAGUUUCGGCGGUUGGGGAUGGACUCGCGGCUUAUCAGCUUGUUGGUGGGGUAGUGGCUUACCAAGGCUUUGACGGGUAGCCGGCCUGAGAGUGUGACCGGCCACAUUGGGACUGAGAUACGGCCCAGACUCCUACGGGAGGCAGCAGUGGGGAAUAUUGCACAAUGGGCGGAAGCCUGAUGCAGCAACGCCGCGUGCGGGAUGACGGCCUUCGGGUUGUAAACCGCUUUCGCCUGUGACGAAGCGUGAGUGACGGUAAUGGGUAAAGAAGCACCGGCUAACUACGUG